CUGACGAGUCCCAAAUAGGGCGAAACGCACGUC
rnacentral:hammerhead_ribozyme from 1 species